UCAGAGAAAGUUUGAUACGGACGCCAACUUUGGAAUGUUGGGGGUAAGGGUUUAAGUCCUUUUCUGAA
rnacentral:tRNA from 1 species